rnacentral:tRNA from 1 species
GAGGGUAUAGUUCAGUAGUAGAGCACAUGCUUGGCAUGCAUGAGGUCCUGGGUUCAAUCCCUACUACCUCCA